AGAUUGAACGCUGGCGGCAUGCCUAACACAUGCAAGUCGAGGCGGCAGCGCGGGGGCGACCCUGGCGGCGAGCGGCGGACGGGUGAGUAAGGCAUCGGAAUCUGCCCUGAUGUGGGGGAUAACGUAGGGAAACUUACGCUAAUACCGCAUACGACCGAGAGGUGAAAGCGGGGGACCGAAAGACCUCGCGCCGGUGGAUGAGCCUACGUCCGAUUAGUUAGUUGGUGGGGUAACGGCCUUACCAAGGCGACGAUCGGUAGCUGGUCUGAGAGGGAUGAGUCAGCCACACUGGGACUGAGACACGGCCCAGACUCCUACGGGAGCAGC
rnacentral:rRNA from 1 species